AGAAAAAAGAGUCCGAGAGAUUCUCGAGAACGUUUUUCAUCCGUUUGGACGUGGACCCACCGGUGGAGGCAUCCUAUUAUCCUCACCCCAUAAAUAUUAAGUAGCCGAUCGAACGUUCAAACAUUUAUUACAAAGAACUCACGAGCUGUUGUUAGCUAUAUAUACGAUGAAAGCAGAAUUUACGCGUACAACCGCUGAAUAAUCGUAUAUGAAACGUGUUUAGAUAAGAAACGUACUGGCCUUGCGUGGAUAACAAGCUUUUAUUUCUUUUUGUUAUUCCAUAGUGUAGGCUAUUAGUAUACCGAAGCUCGAUCGAUAAUAUAAAUACUUGCAAAAUAAUUUUAGAAAAUUUCCGUUCUACGCUCGUACCGUUUAUAUUUGAAAAAGAGAAUUCCUUCGGCCUUCACCGUUCACGUUGAAUAUAUUCUUUCAUAAUGAGAUCAUGUUCUUUUAUCAAGUUUCGUAAGAUACAACAAAAAAAAGAGAAAAAAAAAACAAAAAUACGCAACUCAGAA